CCUACGGGUGGCAGCAGUGGGGAAUAUUGCACAAUGGGCGGGAGCCUGAACCAGCCAAGCCGCGUGAGGGAAGAAGGUCCCUCGUAUCUUACACCUCUUUUGUCAGGGGGCAGAGGCGGGGACUAGUCCCCUGAUGAUGGUACCUUAAGAAAAGACAUCGGCUAACUCCGUGCCAGCCGCCGCGGUAAUGCGGGGGAGGCGAGCGUUAUCCGGAUUGGUUGGGUUUAAGGGGUGCGCAGGGGGCCUGUUAAGUCAGGGGAAAACGCCCGGGGCUCAACCCCGGCUAGCCGUUGAAACUGGGGGGGUGGAGUUGGAGAGAAGUACGAGGAAUGCGCGGGGUAGCGGUGAAAUGCUUAGAUAGCGCGCAGAACCCCGAUUGCGAAGGCAGCGUACCGGCUUCACACUGACGCUGAGUCACGAAAGCGUGGGUAUCGAACAGGAUUAGAUACCCGGUAGUC
rnacentral:rRNA from 1 species